GNNNNNNANNNGCUNGAUGACGCUGGCGGCGUGCCUAACACAUGCAAGUCGAGCGAUCUUCUUCGGAAGAGAGCGGCGGACGGGUGAGUAACGCGUGGGUAACCUGCCCUGUACACACGGAUAACAUACCGAAAGGUAUGCUAAUACGGGAUAACAUACUUUUAUCGCAUGGUAGAAGUAUCAAAGCUCCGGCGGUACAGGAUGGACCCGCGUCUGAUUAGCUAGUUGGUAAGGUAACGGCUUACCAAGGCGACGAUCAGUAGCCGACCUGAGAGGGUGAUCGGCCACAUUGGAACUGAGACACGGUCCAAACUCCUACGGGAGGCAGCAGUGGGGAAUAUUGCACAAUGGGGCGAAAGCCCUGAUGCAGCAACCGCCGCCNUGAGCGAUGAAGGCCUUCGGGUCGUAAAAGCUCUGUUCCUCAAGGAAAAAAUAUGACCGGACCUGAAGGAGGAAGCCCCGGCUAACCACCUGCCAACCAGCCCCCGGUAAUACCGAGGGGGGCUAGCGGUAUCCGGAAUUACUUGGGCGUAAAGGGGUGCGGUAAGGGGGUUCUUUAGUCAGAAAUGAAAGGCUACGGCUCCACCCUAGUAAGCUUUUGAAACUAAGAAACUUGAGUGCAGGAGAGGAGAGUAGAAUUCCUAGCGUAGCCGUGAAAUGCGUAGAUAUUAGGAGGAAUACCAGUUGCGAAGGCGGCUCUCUGGGACUGUAACUGACACUGAGGCACGAAAGCGUGGGGAGCAAACAGGAUUANAUACCCCUGGGUAGUCCACCCCCGUAAAACAUGAGUACUAAGCUGUCUGGGGUUACCUCCCCUCUGUGGGCGCAGCCUAACGCAUUAAGUACUCCCCCCUGGGGAAGUACGCUCUCCAGAGUGAAACUCUCAGGAAAUUGACNGGGACCCGCCCCAAGUAGCGNAGCAUGUGGGUUUAUAUUUUAAGCAACGCGA
rnacentral:rRNA from 1 species